AGUGAACGCUGGCGGUAGGCCUAACACAUGCAAGUCGAACGGCAGCACAGUAAGAGCUUGCUCUUACGGGUGGCGAGUGGCGGACGGGUGAGGAAUGCAUCGGAAUCUACUCUGUCGUGGGGGAUAACGUAGGGAAACUUACGCUAAUACCGCAUACGACCUACGGGUGAAAGCAGGGGAUCUUCGGACCUUGCGCGAUUGAAUGAGCCGAUGCCCGAUUAGCUAGUUGGCGGGGUAAGAGCCCACCAAGGCGACGAUCGGUAGCUGGUCUGAGAGGAUGAUCAGCCACACUGGAACUGAGACACGGUCCAGACUCCUACGGGAGGCAGCAGUGGGGAAUAUUGGACAAUGGGCGCAAGCCUGAUCCAGCCAUACCGCGUGGGUGAAGAAGGCCUUCGGGUUGUAAAGCCCUUUUGUUGGGAAAGAAAAGCAGUCGGUUAAUACCCGAUUGUUCUGACGGUACCCAAAGAAUAAGCACCGGCUAACUUCGUGCCAGCCGCCGCCGUAACAC
rnacentral:rRNA from 1 species